GACGAACGCUGGCGGCGUGGAUUAGGCAUGCAAGUCGAACGGUAUCAUCCUUUCGGGGGUGAGAGAGUGGCGAACUGGUGAGUAACACGUAGGUUAUCUACCCUCAAGACGGGGACAACCCAGGGAAACUUGGGCUAAUACCGGAUGUGAGCAACUUUUAGUUGUUUGAAAGGUGGCGUAAGCUGUCGCUUGGGGAUGAGCCUGCGUCCUAUUAGUUAGUUGGUGAGGUAACGGCUCACCUAGGCAAUGAUAGGUAGGCGGCCUUAACGGGUGGUCCGCCCACACUGGGAUUGAGAUACGGCCCAGACUCCUACGGGAGGCAGCAGUCGAGAAUAGUCUACAAUGGUCGGAAGACUGAUAGUGCGACGCCGCGUGAACGAUGAAUCCCUUCGGGGUUAAAGUUCCUUUAUAUGUGAGCAGUGCUUCUUAUAUUUAACAGUAUGGGGAGAGAGAUAUUAGCAUAUGAAUAAGCAACGGCUAACUCCGUGCCAGCCGCGGUAAUAUCACG
rnacentral:rRNA from 1 species